UGUAUGUUUUCUUUCUGUUCUUUUCAGCCUGUAAACUAAUUCUAUUUAUUGCAACUUGGUCAAUUAUUGUGAUAACGAUUCGAGGACCAUGCAAGUGCAGUUACUGAUCCCUAAAUUGAUGAGUCAUUAAGUGGAACUGCCACAAGUUGUUGUUCAUCAAUGACGGAAUAUGUGUAACCCUGUCCAUGCUCCCUUCCCCUAGCCCUAAUCAUAACUCCUGAAUGCAGUUAAACUUAUUCACACAUUACAUUGUCACCGAAUUUUUACUUCAAUUUAAGAGAUUAAGA